AUUGAACGCUGGCGGCAUGCCUUACACAUGCAAGUCGAACGGUAACGCGGGGCAACCUGGCGACGAGUGGCGAACGGGUGAGUAAUGUAUCGGAACGUGCCCAGUUGUGGGGGAUAACUGCUCGAAAGAGCAGCUAAUACCGCAUACGACCUGAGGGAGAAAGCGGGGGAUCGCAAGACCUCGCGCAAUUGGAGCGGCCGAUAUCAGAUUAGGUAGUUGGUGGGGUAAAGGCUCACCAAGCCAACGAUCUGUAGCUGGUCUGAGAGGACGAUCAGCCACACUGGGACUGAGACACGGCCCAGACUCUUACGGGAGGCAGCAGUGGGGAAUUGUGGACAAUGGACGCAAGUCUGAUCCAGCCAUGCCGCGUGCGGGAAGAAGGCCUUCGGGUUGUAAACCGCGUUUGUCAGGGAAGAAACGCUCUGGGUUAAUACCUCGGGGUAAUGACGGUACCUGUAGAAGAAGCCCCGGCUAACUUCGUGCCAGCCGCCGCGGUAACAC
rnacentral:rRNA from 1 species